ACAUCGGCAAAAUCCGAUGGCGGAAUUGGCGUUCCGAACUUACUGGCGAUAAUUACACGCCAUCAAAGCGUGUUUUUU
rnacentral:sRNA from 1 species